GGUAGAGAUGAGUGAGAGGGUAGAGAUGAGUGAGAGGGUAGAGAUGAGUGAGAGGGUAGAGAUGAGUGAGAGGGUAGAGAUGAGACAGAGGGUAGAGAUGAGUGAGAGGACAGAGGGUAGAGAUGAGUGAGAGGGUAGAGAUGAGUGAGAUGAAUGAGAAGAGGGAGACGAGGGAGAAGGGUGAAUGAGAGAAAGUAGACUAGAGGGAGGUAAAGUUGUUGCCUGAGGGCAUGUGUCCAGUCUAGCUCCCUCCUCUCCCUCCCCCUGCACAGUCAGUCAGUCAGUUAGACACACAGAGCAAAUAUACUCUCCCAGUCUCCCAGUGGAGUACAGGGGCAUCUCUGUCAGGACAGAGGCUCUGCUUUAUCCGCUCAGAGCAACAGGAAGGCCAGACUGCACCACCCACUAGGACCCACCUCCCACCACCACACAGGGAUACUAUGGAUCCUAACACACUGGUCAAUGGGAGAUGCUGUCCCAAGGGCAGGAGGAGAGCGAAGAAAGAGACAGUCUGGAACAGUGAGUGACUGUUGUAUCUGAGUGACUGGAUGUCUUGAGCUAGGAGGCUCUGCAAAAUAGUUUUUUUCAGAAAGGUCUGUGUGUGAAUAGUUAUUUUUCAGACAAGUCUGUGUGUGAAUAGUUGUUUUUCAGACAAGUCUGUGUGUGAAUAGUUGUUUUUCAGACAAGUCUGUGUGUGAAUAGUUGUUUUUCGGGGAGGUCUGUGUGAAUAGUUGUUUUUCAGGGAGGUCUGUGUGAAUAGUUGUUUUUCAGGCAGGUCUGUGUGUGCACCUGUACAUCUGUUUAUAUGCUUUUGUGUGUGUGUAGGUCCCUGUGUGUCUGUAUGCAUAUGUCUGUCUCUCUUUGUGUGUGUCAUAUUAGGUGAGAAUUAGCACACAAGUAAGGACCACCCUCAUGAUCCCUCUCUCUCUCUCGAUCUCUCUCUCUCGAUCUCUCUCUCUCUCGAUCCCUCUCUCUCUCGAUCCCUCUCUCUCUCUCGAUCUCUCUUGAUCCCUCUCUCUCUCCCUCUCUCUCUCUCUCGAUCCCUCUCUCUCUCUCUCUCUCUCGAUCCCUCUCUCUCUCUCUCUCAAUAUCUCUCUCUCUCUCUCACACUCUGUGGCCUCUCUUUUCAUCCUCCUUUUUUUGGAGGGAAAACUCCUUCUCUUUGUGUCAUUGUGUUCCAUUUUCAGGAUGUCACAUUCCACCAAACCUGUGACCACCUCCGACUAACUAGCUCUCUUUCACUCCUCGGGAUCAUGUGUGUGUGUGGGGCCACGUGUGUGUGUUUGGGGCCACAUUUCAAUGUCUGUGUGUAUUACCUAGCUAGAUAAAGAAGUGCCCAUGUCCACUCAGGGAGGUCCUUUUCUCAAUUGCUCCCUCGUUCUCUGUCCCCCUCUCCGUCUCUCUCUCCUUUUCAUUCUUUCUGGGGGUGAAUAAAGGAGACAUUUUCAGUGUGAAGAGGAGCGUGUAAUGUCCUGUGUGACCCCCCCCAGAGACAGAGCAGACCACCACGGCAGCCACAUCACCAAUGAGGUGUGUUAGAUCCGUGUGUCUGUAGUUCUGUGUGUGUGUGUGUGGGAUGUGUAUUGAACAGACUGAGAUUGUUAAACUGGCCUUUUCAGACUUCUUCAGGUUGUUAUAGCCACAAGUGCUGUGGAAUCUGUAGUUGGAGAGGGGUCCUGCUCAGAGACAGAGGGGAGGACACUGGGUGGAUGCGUGACCUUUUGGUGAGCAGUCUCCACAGCCAGCAGUCUGUGAAUUGCGUUUGUAUUGCUUUGUCCUGUAUCCCCUCCAACACCAGCUGGUGAAGCUACUCCGACUGCAGUGUCAGCACGGGGUAGAGAUGGCCACAUCCCAAAGGUUGUUCUCUUAAACAUAUCCUGAAUAAAAGUUAGUUAUUAUAGCAACUCGUGAUGUUGGAAAGAGAAGGUGUUGACUAUAUUUUGCAGGGCCAUGUAUUGGCAUAUUAUCAAUGUGUUAUGUAUCAAGUGACUGUCAUAGAAUCCAGUAGUUUGCUGUUGCUAUGACCAUAAGAGUUGACAAGACCACACAAUCUGUGACCAGGCUGGAGCCCUAACCAGUUGAAUCAACUGGAUGUCGAUUCAGUGGAUUAAGGCAGCACCCCCCACACCUCUCUGAUUCAGAGGGGUUUGGUUAAAUGUGGAAGACACACUUCAGUUGAAUGCAUUCAGUUGUACAACUGACUAGGGGAGUCGGUCCUUCCAUGGCAUUACUGGGUUAGUCUCUGCCGCCCUCUAGUGUAACUAGCCAUUGAUUACACUCCAGGGUCUUAUUGGCGUGUAUUAGCUGUGAUGGCCACUGGGGCCAGAUGUAUUUUUCUCUCCAGAAUGUUGUUCCCUCCCUUCUGUCCUCCGUCAUUCACUCCCCUCCACAGACAUGACAGGAGUGGGUCCUAUGUCUUAGGCCAG
ensembl:lncRNA